rnacentral:misc_RNA from 1 species
UAGUAUAUGGAAUUUCCAAUUCUAUAAACCCCACCUGUGUAUCUUGUAACUGUUGCUUCCAUGGGACCUGGACUUUCAAGUCCACAUCGGCCCUCAUGGCUGAUGAGCGCCCAUGGGAGGAUCCACAAAAACUCUUCUUUGAGGUGUAGUUAGUCUGAAUUAGUUAUAACAAACGUUA